rnacentral:tRNA from 1 species
GAGGGUGUAGCUCAGUGGUAGAUCGCGUGCUUGGCAUGCACAAGUUCCUGGGUUCAAUCCCCAGUACCUCCA